UACAGAGUUCCUGCCCUCACGGGUAGAAACCCCACCCUUGUAUAUUAUAUAUUGUUGCUUUGGCGGGCCGCCCUCACAGGCACCGGCUCACGCUGGCUCGCGCCCGCCGAAGGACCCCAAACUCUGAAGUAUAGUGUCGUCUGAGUACUAUUUAAUAGUUAAAACUUUCAACAACGGAUCUCUUGGUUCUGGCAUCGAUGAAGAACGCAGCGAAAUGCGAUAAGUAAUGUGAAUUGCAGAAUUCAGUGAAUCAUCGAAUCUUUGAACGCACAUUGCGCCCCUUGGUAUUCCGAGGGGCAUGCCUGUUCGAGCGUCAUAUUAACCACUCCCGCUUGCGGGGUCUUGGGUUUCGCCUCUGGGCGGGCCUUAAAAUCAGUGGCGGUGCCGUCUGGCUCUAAGCGUAGUAAAUUAUCCUCGCUAUAGGGUCCAGGUGGAUGCUUGCCAACAACCCCCAAAUUUUUUAAGGUUGA
rnacentral:rRNA from 1 species